CCAACGGCCCUCUUUAGGGCCAACAAUGAUUAAAAAUUUUGUUCAU
rfam:Parastrongyloides trichosuri strain KNP genome assembly, scaffold: PTRK_contig0000002